rnacentral:lncRNA from 1 species
UUGUUUGCCUCUUCUUCUAUUUUUACAAAUAACAGCUCUGCAUUCAUUAGGAUGGCGACUAUAUUAAAAACACCCCCCCCCCAAUAAUCAGAACAUGUCCAGUUGGUGAUGAUGGAGAGAAGCUGCACUAUUUUCACACUAUUGGCUAGAGUGUAAAUCUCUGUCACUUAAAAAUGAAGGUGCCGUUCACCUUUAGAUCUAGAACCCCUUCCUAGAGAUGUGCCCCAAAGAGCUAGAGACGGGGUCUGAAAGCAACACUAGGACAGGGAAGAAGCAAACUGCUGUGUGCACACAGACCAGAGUCUGGGCCUCUCCCAAUGGAUGGUGUCAGUGUCAGCUAAGUGGGAGAGGCAGCAUCAAGGAUUAACUUGGCAUGACACCACAUGAGGUGACUGAGUGUGCAUGACAUCACAUGAGGUGACUGAUUGUGCAUGACACCACAUGAGGUGACUGAUUGUGCAUGACAUCACAUGUGCAUGACAUCACAUGAGGCGACUGUGCAUGACAUCACAUGAGGUGACUUUGAACACAGUGUAGGAGGAGGUUUCCCACGGCUUGGGAGGGAGGGAAUGGAGAGCGUUCAGUGCUACAUGUGUUUCAGUUUUGAAAAGAUAAAAAUUGUGAUUUGGAGACUGACUGCAUAAUAGAGUAAAUGUUUAACAUUAUCGAGCCAUACACUAAAAAUAGUUAGGAUAGAUUUUGUUCCUUUCCUGUGACUAGACAACUCUAAAAGUGAGAACUUUUAAAGCAUCAACAGCACACAAACUCUGCCUCACCUGCUGCACUGUUACUCUAAAACUCAUAAUCCUACUUGGUAAGAUCUAGAAAAUGGCCAAGAAGAAAGGAAUGUGCGUGACACACAUGCACACACACAGGAAAAACACCCACACACCUCAAGUAAAACUAAGCUAAGACAUUUAGCUAAAGGGACGCCGGCUUCCAGCGCGUGGACUCUCCAGCGUUGUCCUGCACAGAACCAUUUACUGAGUCUAGCUGUAAUCCUGGCUGCCUGACAGGAUGGCUUUGCUGAUGUGCAAAGCUGCCAGCUUUGUAAAGAGGGCCCUUGUACUGCACAGAGGGUGACCCAGGGAACCUAAUUCAGGCAAGUGUGUGUGCCCCCAGUUUUCAGGGGCAGCAAUGGCAGUGAGAGGUGCUGUGCUCACCAGUGGCAGCCCCGCUGGGCAGUUCCUGGCUGGGCAGCCUCUGGCACUGGUUCUCCACACACCCACUCUUACCUAAUACUCCAGUAAACCCUCCCUGCUUCAGUUAGCCAUAACUCUGGGUGCUUAUAUCAAUGACUUUGACUCAUACAUGAACAUUUUGUGUUGAACAUGCAGGCUGUCCCUAAUUCUUCACUGUAAUGAGCAGCUGAAUUAAAUGUCCUUACACAUGC